GCAAUGGUGUUCAGUGGUAGAAUUCUCGCCUUUCAUGUUGAAGACUGGGGUUCGAUUCCCAGCCAAUGCA
rnacentral:tRNA from 1 species